GGAGGAAUGGCCGAGUGGUUGAAGGCGGCGGUCUUGAAAACCGCAAGGCCCGCAAGGGUCUCGGGGGUUCGAAUCCCUCUUCCUCCGCCA
rnacentral:tRNA from 1 species